rnacentral:rRNA from 1 species
UCGAGGAUCUUCGGCAAUGGGCGCAAGCCUGACCGAGCGACGCCGCGUGAAGGAUGAAGGCCUUCGGGUUGUAAACUUCUGUCGAGGGGGAUCAAGGGUAACUUGAGUGAUCCCUGGAGGAAGCACGGGCUAAGUUCGUGCCAGCAGCCGCGGUAAGACGAACCGUGCGAACGUUGUUCGGAAUCACUGGGCAUAAAGGGCGCGUAGGCGGCUUUUCAAGUCAGGGGUGAAAUCCGGCAGCUUAACUGUCGAAGUGCCCUUGAUACUGAUGAGCUCGAGGGAGGUAGGGGUCUGUGGAACUUCCGGUGGAGCGGUGAAAUGCGUUGAUAUCGGAAGGAACGCCGGUGGCGAAAGCGACGGACUGGACCUCUUCUGACGCUGAGGCGCGAAAGCCAGGGGAGCAAACGG